rnacentral:rRNA from 1 species
ACUUAAAUUGAAGAGUUUGAUCAUGGCUCAGAUUGAACGCUGGCGGCAGGCCUAACACAUGCAAGUCGAGCGGUAGCACAGAGAGCUUGCUCUCGGGUGACGAGCGGCGGACGGGUGAGUAAUGUCUGGGAAACUGCCUGAUGGAGGGGGAUAACUACUGGAAACGGUAGCUAAUACCGCAUAACGUCGCAAGACCAAAGUGGGGGACCUUCGGGCCUCAUGCCAUCAGAUGUGCCCAGAUGGGAUUAGCUAGUAGGUGGGGUAACGGCUCACCUAGGCGACGAUCCCUAGCUGGUCUGAGAGGAUGACCAGCCACACUGGAACUGAGACACGGUCCAGACUCCUACGGGAGGCAGCAGUGGGGAAUAUUGCACAAUGGGCGCAAGCCUGAUGCAGCCAUGCCGCGUGUGUGAAGAAGGCCUUCGGGUUGUAAAGCACUUUCAGCGGGGAGGAAGGCGGUGAGGUUAAUAACCUUGGCGAUUGACGUUACCCGCAGAAGAAGCACCGGCUAACUCCGUGCCAGCAGCCGCGGUAAUACGGAGGGUGCAAGCGUUAAUCGGAAUUACUGGGCGUAAAGCGCACGCAGGCGGUCUGUCAAGUCGGAUGUGAAAUCCCCGGGCUCAACCUGGGAACUGCAUUCGAAACUGGCAGGCUAGAGUCUUGUAGAGGGGGGUAGAAUUCCAGGUGUAGCGGUGAAAUGCGUAGAGAUCUGGAGGAAUACCGGUGGCGAAGGCGGCCCCCUGGACAAAGACUGACGCUCAGGUGCGAAAGCGUGGGGAGCAAACAGGAUUAGAUACCCUGGUAGUCCACGCCGUAAACGAUGUCGAUUUGGAGGUUGUGCCCUUGAGGCGUGGCUUCCGGAGCUAACGCGUUAAAUCGACCGCCUGGGGAGUACGGCCGCAAGGUUAAAACUCAAAUGAAUUGACGGGGGCCCGCACAAGCGGUGGAGCAUGUGGUUUAAUUCGAUGCAACGCGAAGAACCUUACCUGGUCUUGACAUCCACAGAACUU